CCCUUUCAGAGUUUUAACCCUUUCAGAGUUUUGAACUCUGAAAGGGUUGAAAAACUCAAAACCUA
rnacentral:misc_RNA from 1 species